UGAGAAAAGAAAUAAGACACAGAGACAAAGUGUAAAGAUACAACAGUGGGUCCAGGGGACCGGCGCUCAGCCCACCAAGGACCUGCACCGGCACCAGCCUCUGAGUUCCUUCAGUUUUUAUUGAUUAUGAUUUUCAUUAUUUUAGCAGAAAGGAAUGUAGUAGGAGAGCAGGGUGAUGAUAAGGAGAGAGUCUGCAGAAGACAUGUGAGCAAAAGAAUCUAUGUCAUAAUUAGGUUCAAGGGAAGGUACUAUGACUGGACGUGCACGUGGACACGCCCCCACUGAUAUUCCUUCUAAUUGCAGCGUGGGAGAGGAGGAUAUGACA
rnacentral:lncRNA from 1 species